rnacentral:tRNA from 1 species
GGGAAUAUUGCUCAAUGGUAGGGUGCUUGCCUAGCAUGCAUGAAGCCCUGGGUUCGAUUCCUCAGUACCA